rnacentral:rRNA from 1 species
AACGAACGCUGGCGGCAGGCUUAACACAUGCAAGUCGAACGGGUGUAGCAAUACAUCAGUGGCAGACGGGUGAGUAACACGUGGGAACCUUCCUAGAGGUACGGAACAACUCAGGGAAACUUGAGCUAAUACCGUAUACGCUCUUGCGAGGAAAGAUUUAUCGCCUUUAGACGGGCCCGCGUCGGAUUAGCUAGUUGGUGGGGUAAACGGCCUACCAAGGCGACGAUCCGUAGCUGAUCUGAGAGGAUGAUCAGCCACACUGGGACUGAGACACGGCCCAGACUCCUACGGGAGGCAGCAGUGGGGAAUCUUGGACAAUGGGCGCAAGCCUGAUCCAGCCAUGCCGCGUGAGUGAAGAAGGCCUUCGGUUGUAAAGCUCUUUGCAGGACGAUAAUGACGGUACC